UGAUCAAUUUAUUCACCAAACCUCUCUCCUAGUAUAAAUUCUGAAAUAAUUUGAAUCAUAAACAUCAAAUUUAAUAUUAUAAUGUUGUGCAUACAAUAAUUAUAAUUAUUAUACUAUUAGUAAAAGAUAAUAUUUUCUUUUCAAGUCUGUGUAAAAAAAAUAAAAGACGAACAUAAUUCGCACGAUAGCGGUGGGUCAUUGUUAUAGGUGAAGAGUUGUGAAAGUAGGAUAUAUAAAAUAAUUUAUUAUUUUUUAUAUAAACGCGACGACUAAUUAUUGCAAACGAAAAAAAAUUUUAAACGGACUUUGGUUGUACAGGUUUUGAAAGGCUGUAAUAAUUACGAUUUUCGUCAAAAUAAAAUAUUAAAAUUAUUAUUAAAAAAAUUCUAUAUUACACUGAAUUUUUUUUUUUACCACAAAAUAUGACUUAUAAUGAACCUCAGGUUAAAAUUUAAAACUUUUCUAUUCGGUCCAAUAACUUUAUUUAUGGAU